rnacentral:tRNA from 1 species
GUUUUAGUAGUUUAAGUAAAACCUUGGUCUUGUAAACCAAUAACAAGAAUUUAUCUUCUAAAACU